UUUCACGCUGUCAAGAAAAGCCUCUAGGAAGAGUAGUACUGCCCGUACCGCAAACCGACACAGGUAGAUGAGGAGAGAAUCCUAAGGUGAGCGAGAGAACUCUCGUUAAGGAACUCGGCAAAAUGACACCGUAACUUCGGGAGAAGGGGUGCUCUAUUAGGGUGCAAGCCCGAGAGAGCCGCAGUGAAUAGGCCCAGGCGACUGUUUAGCAAAAACACAGGUCUCUGCAAAACCGUAAGGUGACGUAUAGGGGCU
rnacentral:rRNA from 1 species